rnacentral:rRNA from 1 species
CGACCGGCGCACGGGUGAGUAACGCGUAUCCAACCUGCCCACCCACUUGGGGAUAACCUUGCGAAAGUAAGACUAAUACCCAAUGAUAUCUCUAGAAGACAUCUGAAAGAGAUUAAAGAUUUAUCGGUGAUGGAUGGGGAUGCGUCUGAUUAGCUUGUUGGCGGGGUAACGGCCCACCAAGGCAACGAUCAGUAGGGGUUCUGAGAGGAAGGUCCCCCACAUUGGAACUGAGACACGGUCCAA